CCAAAAGUACCGAUCCAAAUAAUGACGUCAAAGUAAAAGAAAAGAAACAACUCUGAAAAGGAAAUUAAGUUUUUCUUUUUGGAAAAAAAGAAAAAUUGAGUAGAGAUUCUUUCUUUAGUUUCGAUUCAGCUGCUUCUCCGAUCUAAAUCCUCGUAUAACUAUUUUCUCAGCUCAAUUUAGCUCUGAUACUUCAAAUUUUGAGCUUUAACAAUCUAAUUGCUCUCUGAUGAUCUCUACCUUCAGGAAAAUAGGGCUCCACCCGAAGAAUUAAGCUCUGCAACUUGAUGAAUCUUCUUAGCAAAAAGGACUCCAUCUGAACAAGUAACAUCCACAUCUCGAUGCAUUUUUUGGAUUAAUUCGAGUACAUAUCAAGGCUCAUUUGGGGAUGACGCUUCCAAUAGAAUUUUCUCCAUACUCAGGGCUCGAACCCGAGACCUCUGGUUAAGGGUGAAACGCUUCCACCAGUGCACCACAAUCCAUGUUGGUAAAGAAAGAGUAAUUAACUUGAGUAAAUUUUAAAUGUUCUGAUAAAGAAAUUAUCUCCAUUUUUGGUUUGUAAAGAUGUUAUCUCCGUGAUUUUCGCAAUUUAAACAUAUUUUUUAGAAUAGUUUUUUAUUUUAUUUUUAAAUUAAUUUUGAAAGAACUUUUAAAAUUUAAAAUUUGGGAAAUGAAAUGUUAAUUCUCAAGGAUAUACUAUAGAUUUGAUUUGAAAAAGAAUAGCAUUUUAAAAAAUAUUUUUCAUUUUUCUAAAUUUUCAAUUGUUUUAAUAAAGAUAUUUUUGCCGUGAUUUUCAUGAUUUUUAUUAUAACUGAUUAUCCUUCGGGGUGACUUUCCCCCUUAUUUUUCUGUAAUAAAAUUAUUUUGCAUUUAAAAUAUUAAAUCAUAAAUAGAACUCAAAUUAUAAAAUUCUAAUUUUUUAGGAUAUACGAAUUUUAUUUUGAAAUUUGAGAUGAAAUUUAUAACUUUCAUUUUUGAUCGCUCUAAUAAAGAUAGAACUUUCAUCAUUUUUUCGUGAUUUUGACUAUAGAUUUACUAUUGUUAUUGAAUUAUUUUUGUGAUGACUGUGAAAUGUUAAAUUUUGAUAUAUAAAUUAUCAAAAAAGUAAUCUUUAGAUAGUUCUAUAUUUUGAUUUCUUUUUAUGGAGAAUGAAUUUUGAAAAAACUUUCAUCCAUCGUGAAUAAAAAAAUUGCCUUUGCUUUUCUGUUAUAAAUUUAGUAUUUUUUUUAAAACGUGAAAUUAUAAAUAAAACUCAAGAAAUGAAAUAUUAAUUCUUGAAUAUGUACCCUAGAUUUGAUUUGGACAAAUAGAAUCUUAGAUAAAUUAAUUAUCUUUCUUAAUUUUCAUGAUUUUUACUAUAGAUUUACUACUAUUAUUGCUAGGCACAUAGUUUAAACCUGUAAUGUGGUCGCUGUUGAAUUAAUUAUUUCUGACGAUACUCGUUAAUCGUUAAUUACUAACUAAUAAUCAUCAAGUAUUAAUUGUUAACUGUUAAUAUAUUGUUAGUUCUUUGUAACGAUUUGACUUUCGUCGAAGGAAAAAUUCAGUGGGGAAAGAAUUGAGGUUAGAAAACUUUUUCGUAGUAAUUUGAGAUUUCUCAGCCUAGUUCAGAUUUGGACGAAAUUGGAGUCGGUGAAAUAUAGGAAAAUUUGGUAACAAAUGAGAGACCUAAUUAUGAUUUUAAUUAUAUGACUAGAUAGCCAAGACGUUAAGGAACCCGUACGACUUUACGGAAUUGAAUUCGGGAGAGUAAAACUCCCGAAAUUUUGAUCUUGGUUUGAACGGUAUUUUUUUUAGUGUCGUUGGUUGAAGGUGUGUUGUGAAUGGAGUCUUGGAAUUAUUAAAUUUUGCUCGUUGGUUCCGUGCAAGCUACUGGGCGAGAUUUCUGCCGCCAGGCGAGGUCGUUGUAGUGGGGUGAGUGUCGCCAUGACGGAGCAGGUGCAACUUAAAGUCAUAAAUAUACUCCAAAAACAUUUUAUUCUUCAUUUUUCGACUUUGAGGGCUAAGGAACGAGCCGAGGAGUCUUAUUGACAGUUUUCCACCAUUCUUGAGGCUAAAAGAUAAGGUUUUCACUCCUCAAAUCUGUUUUUUCGAUCUGUAGAACCUAUUUUCUUGGGUUAUUAUUGAUGAAGAAGGGUUUUGACAUGGGAAUUAUGGUGGAAAACCCCUAAUAUGGGUAUGGGGAUCAUGAGUUUGGUCUAUGGUUACAGAGUUCAUUAUAAUCUGGGUAAUUAGAUCUUUGAUUGUCGUUCCUUGCGUAUAAAUUGUUGUUUGUAGACCUAGAACAAGCGGAACUAAUCCAGAAAGGGGAGUUCAAGCUAAUUGUGAUUCUAUGAUUGUGUGAUAUAUGUUUGGUCUUGCUUCAUUAUGAUAUAUGUAUGUAUGCGAAUGUUGCAUUAUUGAUCACACUUGUUGUAAAUGAGAUAGAUGAAUAACUUUAUAUGCCAUGAAUCACUUCUUGAUUGUAUGAUGUUGAGAAUAUACUUGUUAUUGUAAUUGUGGUGUGUUGAAUGGAUCAGUUGUCACGUUCCGGCACAACUAAUUGAGAUAGUUAUCACGUUUUGGCAUAAAUAAUUGGGAUCGGUUGUCACAUUCCGGCAUAAAUAAUUGGGAUCGAUUGUCAUAUUAAAACAUAAACAUUGGGUCGGGUACACGUUCCGGUAUGCUAAGUGUUUGAGUUUGGGUUCCAUGAGAGGACCAACUACUUGAUAUAACUGUGAUAUUUAAGAAUUGUGAAAUGCUCUGUUGUUCGUAAAUGAUGAUGAUAUUGUAUAUGUUCUGUGUCUGCAUGCUAUUAUUAUGUUGUAUUGACUUACAUAUAUUGCACUUAAUGGGAUAGCUGUGUGAUCCUACCACUACAUUGUGGUUGUGUACUGAUACUGCAGUUGCUCUUUCUUUGUUGAGUACAUGACAUCUUCCGGUGACUACUGAUAGACCUCAGCUAGGUGACUAUUGAGCGUGACCGAAUUCAAGGGUGAGUAUGUUCUUUCAGGCUGCCAUGGACCUUUCUUGUUUAAGUCCACUCUUUUCGGACUCGGACUAUUUGUUUAAGGUGUUGUUGAGUUUUGUGGUUGUACCCCUUACUCUUAGAGUUGUCGUUAGUAGAAUUUUGAUACAAUGACUUUCAGGUACUAGGGGUUGCUCUUCUGCAUUAGUUUGGUCAGUUAUUUGUUAAAACCUUGGAGUAUAUGGGAACUCCAUUUUUGUUGUCAUUUAAACCUGCUUCCGUAUUUUUAAAUGUCUCAUUUUUUUAUAAAAUUUA